rnacentral:rRNA from 1 species
AUUGAACGCUGGCGGCAUGCCUUACACAUGCAAGUCGAACGGCAGCACGGGGGCAACCCUGGUGGCGAGUGGCGAACGGGUGAGUAAUACAUCGGAACGUGCCCAGUAGUGGGGGAUAGCCCGGCGAAAGCCGGAUUAAUACCGCAUACGACCUACGGGUGAAAGCGGGGGAGUCGCAAGACCUCGCGCUAUCGGAGCGGCCGAUGUCAGAUUAGGUUGUUGGUGGGGUAAAAGCCUACCAAGCCGACGAUCUGUAGCUGGUCUGAGAGGACGACCAGCCACACUGGGACUGAGACACGGCCCAGACUCCUACGGGAGGCAGCAGUGGGGAAUUUUGGACAAUGGGCGCAAGCCUGAUCCAGCCAUGCCGCGUGCGGGAAGAAGGCCU